GGGGAAGAGAUAGCUGUGAAAAGAUUGUUAAUGAAAUCAGGAAAACGAGACAAUGAGUUUGUAAACGAAAUCUCAUUGGUUGCGAAACUUCAACAUCGUAAUCUUGUUAGGCUUUUAGGUUUCUACUUAGAAGGAGAAGAACGACUUCUCAUAUAUGAGUUCUUCCAGAACGCAAACCAUUUGGCUACUUCUUUCUCAAGAAGUUUGACUUCUCAUAUAUGAGUCAGGUUUUUUAAGGGUUUGGCUACUUCUUUCUCAAGGUUUAUGUCAUUGAUUUUGUUAGCGUUAUUAGAUGUUAGAUUCUAUUUUUUACUUGGUUUGAUUUUGGAUAAUUUCAGUUUUUAUGCAGCUCAGUUUCUAGUAAGCAUAUUUGUUCUUUGAGUGAUUUCUUUUCCAGGAUCUAUAUUGCAUCUGUGGUUUUCAUGUUUAUGUUGAUUACUAAUCUUGUGUUAUUUUACACUUGCGUGGAUGCAGGAGACUGAAGUUUCUGGUUUCUUUUGUGGUAUAUUCACAUUCACAUGGAAGUUGUUUAUUAUCUUCCCUUUUUUUAAGUUUGAGUACAUAUUGUGAUGGAUUUCAUCUAUUCAGUUUAUGGCUUUAUGUAUAUAUUUGAACAUGUUGAAUUUAGCCAUCUAACUUUUGUUUUCUCCCGACUUUAGGAGGAUCAAGAAACAGCAGCUCGUUUAGCGAGCACAAUGACAUAUUUGUUUAAGGGAAGAGCACUACAGGUACCUUGUUUUAUUAUUAUAAGUAAUAGCCACUGAAAGAUUCAAUAAAUAACGUGAUCUUCUUGCAGGCCCAUAUAUUUGAGGGUAAAGAGCCUCCACAAUUUGUUGCACUUUUUCAACAUAUGGUGGUCCUUAAGGUAUUUCUUUUGAUUGUUGCUGGAAGAAAAUAUAUUAUCUUUUAGGGUGGUUUGAGCUCUGGUUACAAAAACAGAAUGAUAGAGAAAGGUUCAUCAGACGAAACCUACACCGCUACACGCCGGAAUCAGUGCACUUUUUCAAGUAUCUAGAACUGGAGUUCACAAUAAUAAGGCACUACAACUUAAAGCGGUAAUUUUCUACCUUACUUUCUCUCUUGUUAAGUGCUUUCUACUUUAGACUGUUCAAAACUUCGGCAUGGAAACCAUAGUACGCAUAAGCAGCAAGAGUGGCUGCUAAAGUUACUGAAUUCUUAAAGGUAGUUUCUAAUGGUGUUAUCUUUGAUUUUAGUUUAGCUGAAAUUGUCUAAGUAGAGCCUAUAUAAUUUUUAUAAAGCUUAUUACUCGUACUUCUUAUCACAGUCUUCAAUUGGUAAAUUUAACCAUCUUUUUUUUGCAUGGGAUUACUGUCAAGCACGCAAAAGAGGGACAAGGAGCUCAUUCUUUUGGUUUGCACUUGGGGGAAAACAGAACUUCACCAGCAGAUGGUUUCCUCCGAGACUGUUAGGGAUUUUCACUUGUUCUCCUUUUCCUUCAGCAGAGGAAAAUUUCAGGUGCGAAUUUAGAAAAAUUAUGCAACGUUUUCUUAUCAGUUAUCAAGAUGUGUGCACAGUUGGAGAGAUUCACAACUUUGGAUCUCUAGAGGGAAGAAAUGCAUUUAUGUGGGUUGGUCAAUGUGUGGACCCAAAGGAAAAACAAACAUAAAGUUUUGAGAUUAGCCAAGUAAUAUGCUUCAUCAGUUUUGCUUCUCAGCAUAAGUUAUUGCUCCUCGUUUUCUACCUUGUUUCCUCUUUGUACAGUUUUGUGCAGAGAUACAUAGAUCUGGUUGGUUCUCUGAACGGCUUGUCCCCAAAAGUUCCAUUAUAGGAAAUCACAGAGGGAAAUGAGCCAUGCUUCUUCACCACUCAUUUUUCAUGGUAUUCUACUAAAGCUACUGUGCAAGGGAAUUCCUUCCAGAAGAAGGCAGCAUUAUUACUUGGUGCACGUUCUGGAGAUACUUCAUGCAUGUGUUUUAUGUUUCCUUGCUUUAUGUACAAUAGUAGCUGGUAAGAACAGAUAUGAUAAUGGAAAAACUGAUGUUGAAACGUUUGUGUACAAUUUACCCUUCUGCUGCAGGGUCUAGCAGUGGUAACCAAGGACCAAGGCAAAGUGCCUGCUGCUUUAUUUGCCUUGACUUCUGCAUUUAAUUCUUCUUCCGGGAAAUAAGCUCUCAUGAGCUGCAGCUUUAUCAACACUUCUUCAUGUUGUGUCUUGGAUGAGAAGAGAGGAAGCUGGCCCAAUAAAUAUCCUUUAUUCCUAUCUACGUAUUCUAUUUGUUUAAGGUUACAACUGGAGUGACAUUAACAUUGGUUUGAUUCUUUAAUAUACAUUUUGGCUCCGUGAUUGUUUUGUUUUCUGUUUAUAUGUGUAGUACUUCUUGUUGCCACCAUGGAGUCGAGAGUGCAAGCUCUGCCAUGUUCUGUUCGUUUCCCGAUGGAGAAUGGUUUCUUCUUCAUCCUUCUUUUUUUUUAAGCCAAUGUAAAGACUUUAUUAUUAUAUGAUUUUCCGUUAACUCUGAAUGUCCAAAUGAUCGCCUCUGUCUCUGUAUGCGUUUGUCACAUUUCUCUACAUAUCCAGUAAAUUUCUUUGCAUUUGGUGAUUGCUUUGAGAGCGAGCAUUUAUGUUGCUCCACAGACUUUUGCUUUCUACACAAAGUGAAGAAGAAAAGAAGGGGGAAAAGAAGAAGAAAGGUUGUAGUGAUAAAAAGACAAUCAUGGUGUUUGUAAAGAAAUGUCAUCACCAAAUUAAUCAACGGCCCGACCAUAUGAUGCUUAUGUAUUUGUGUUCGAGACAAUUGGUAGAGGCUCAAUUAAGCCAGGAUAGAACAGAGAAGAUUUCUGCUCAAAAAGACAAGCAAAUUAUUCAUUGCUCCAUUAGUUUUAUAAAUACUCACUUCAACCUAAAUAUGCUUUCGUAAAUCACCUAAGUCCUUGUCAUUUAUCAUGUGGCCGGGCAACGUGGUAGUGUUGUUGGUGCCUCAUGGCUUGUUUUCAGGUAAUUUCUCGAACUGCCUUUGAAUUUCUUAAAAAUGUAUUAUCGAUUGCCACAUGAUGGGAGUGUCUCUUAAACCUUUAAUGAUUUUAUCUACAAUACUUUCAAUAUAGUGCCUUACUUUGUGUUGAUGUUUAUACGGAUUUCUUCUGUGAUAUGCAGCACAAUCUCUAUAGAAGCACUAGUUUGAAUUAAAGAACACUUUUCAGGCAAAGUUGUUUAUCUGAUCAAAACUGGUUGUGCUAUAUAUAUUUUUUUAAUUUUCUUUUACUUGGGUUAAUGAUCUUAUAUGUGACUAGUUGAUAGGGCUGAAUCUAAGAUCCAUUGAGUGACUGUACGAGAAUUAUGGCUUCAUUUCAUAUCGCCUUAACGGUGAUACUGACACGCUUGAAGCUGAAUACAAGAAGAAUGGAUUCAUGUCAUAUCUCCUUAACAGUGACAACUCGCUAGAUUAUCCUAGUUUCUAUUUCAAGCAGCAGAGGACUCCAAGAUUUUGAGCACUGAAGGUAUGUUUUCUUUCAGGACUAUAAGUUUAUUUUGUUUAGAUUUGAAUCCUAAUUUAGGUUUGUUAAAAACCAUUGAUUUCGUUUGGCUGCAGAGAAUGUGUUGUAUCAUUUAAGUGAAAAUUUGCAUCGAGUGAAGUUGGUGGUUAUGUCCUAAAUGCAGGUUUAGUGGUGGAAAGUAAAUAUAUCAGUGAGAGAAAGCAUAACAAGGAAUUCAGGUGGAGGGACUUGUAGCGCUAAUGGUAACCUAACUAUGAGAAUUCACAGUGAUUGAGCUUGCAGAGAAAUUUUGGCUUGAUGGAUUCUCCAAGGGCAUCCCGUAUAGGCGUAUAUGCAUCCAGGAGAUAAAUAAGAAAGAGUUGACAAAGAAAAAGAAGAAGAACGAGAAUGUUGACCGUAACAAACCCAAAAAGCCUUGAUUCUCAUUCUUUCUAUUUUGGUCUUAAAUAUUUUUUAAAUCUGUUUUGUAUUCAAUUUUAUUGGGAAAACGCAAGAAAGAUUUGUUGAGUAUCCCGAGAUCAACAUCUCAAUUCUUACCAACGAUAUUUCAUUGAAAUGGAAAGUAAAGAAACACGAUUUUAUUCAUUGUUACUUGUGAAAUUGAAUUCCUGGUUUUGAGA